rnacentral:lncRNA from 1 species
UUUGAUUGAUGGGGUCAAGUUGUCUCUCACAAAUGCAAAAGCCAACUGAUCUCUUGGGUUGAAAGCUUCCAAUUCGUUGAACAAGAGGCAUGAGAAUAGGUUGCUUCCCCUUCCAUGUCUUCUCAAGAUUAAAGCACUAUCAGGUACAUCUGUAACAUUAUCAAUACAUCCUUUAUUAAUUCAUUUUUUAUCCAUUCAUGUCUAUCAAAUAACCCUAAAUAUUUUAUAAUAAUAUAUCAAUUGAACAAAACAUAAAGCAUUGAAAAAUGAAGCUCUUCCAGAAUCUAUAAAGUAAAUAUUGAAAGAGUAGAUCCACCAUUAAUGGUAGAGUUGAACAAAACAAAAAAAGAAUAAUAGUAACAGAAAAAAGAAAGUUACGUAGACUUCAAAUAAUAAAACAAAGAGAAAUUAUGAGUUAGCUCUUCAGGAUUCCAUGAGGAAGUUUAUCUGCUCCCAUUCCAUUCCAUGCUCCCAAUAACUCAUUAUCCCUUUUGUCUUAUAUUCUUACAUCAAACCCACAUCUCUCUGUAUUUUUUUAACUCGCGAGGUAUUCAAAUAUAUGUAACAACUAUCUAAAUUAUACUUAAAUUUGUUAUAAACAAAUUAACUACGACUAACAAGUCUACGAGUCUACGUCUACCUACGUAUGAACUAAAUAGAAACAAGUUUAUAAAAAGAAAUGAUACCCAAUGCUAGAACAGUUUGAAAUGAAAAAACCAUAGUUCUUAUUUAGUAUUAUAUACCUAUUUUAUUGAGUUUUGAAUUGAAGAUUACAUUUAUGAUUUUGAAAAUACGUAUAAUAUAUAGUUUUGAUGAUAGGGUAUGAUUUGGGGUUUAAGCAAGAAAGCGGUGGGAAAGGGGCAUGAUAUGCAUGAGACGUAACUCCCAAGCCUUAAAUUACAAACAUACAAACGGCAAAAAGCCAAAGCCAUAGCCAUAGCCGAAAAGUAUGCACAUUUAAAUAAUAGUUAAGAAGCUUUUAACCUAAUCAAUCCAAUUUGAUAAUUUCACAACAAAAUGCAAGUGGACAAAUUCACAAAAGAGAAUUUUAGUUGGAAUCUUUCUAUGGCUUUUGAUUUAUUAGGUUCAUUGCCAAAUGCCAGCUCCUAUAGGGAUAACAUUAAAUUAAAAUUAAAAUUAAACACUACUUUGUUUUCAAAAAAAUAAAAAAUAAAAAGACAAUUUUUGGUUGAAUUAAAUUAAACUAUAAGAUGCUAUAUUUGAAUAUGUGAUUUACAAAGAGUGUAGAAAAAGUAAAAAGCUUCCCAAGGGACUCAAUAGUAUUUUGAAAUUAAAACCAAACUUUCUAAAUCACAAAAUAUAUUGCUAGCUACUAAUUUUCUUUUGCUUAAAACACAUCUAACUCUACAAUAAUAGUAAUUCCAUCAAUGAGUUAUGGUUAUGCUCACUUUUUAACUUGUAACAUGGAAUUCAUCAAUAUUACAAAAAGAGUUAGAAAUGAGAGAUUACCUGUGGUAUAGGGAAGCUUGUUGGGACUCCAUGGUUUCAACCCAUUUUCACAGUAAGUUUCCAUUUGUUGCUUCAAAGAAUCAACAUCCCACCAUUUCUUCCAUCUAGCAGUGGCCAUGGCUUCUUCCAUGGUGUGAAUAUAAUAAGGAUGUUUAGAAAUAGCCAUAUCUGCAUUCUUAGUGAUAAUCAACGAAUGAAUCAACAACAAUGGAUCCACCAUUAACUGAAGCUUUGCAUCCACCCAUAUACUAAAUUUAGAAUUUGGAAACAGUCUAUGAACUAAAUAUUUAGGUAUUACGCCAUUCAUCGCCGGAUUUUCGUAAAGAUUCUUGCUAGAAACUCUUACAAUUCUCCAUGCCCCAAUUGUUAUAUCCGGCGAUGUGUUUUUUCCGGAAACUAACUUAUGAUUCUCCAAUCCUUUCACCGUAAUUUCAUCGACAAACAUGAAAAAACAAACGCUAUCCAAAGUCUUCGACCCAAGGCCUCUCGGUUGCCGAAUUUUAUCAUGAUCGUUAAAAAUCGCCGAAACUACAACCACACCGUUACAACUCUCCAUAGCAAUACGAUCUUCAGAGUAACCAAAACAGAAUCAGUUAAUUAAAACAAACUAACAUAUAUAAAAAAAUAUAUUAUAAAAAAUCGCAACCGAAAUUCGUAAUACCAGAAUCACUGACAGGAAAUUUCUUGAGAAACCCACAAGGAAUCGGAACGGUAGCGUUAUCGUAAUCUCGAUAAUCGAAGAAGGAAAAUCUCUUAUGGGCAGUGAAAUUGCCGGCGAAGGAAUCAGAAUUAGCAAGGAGGUAGCUCAAAUUGGAGGAUGCGGAAGAGGAAUUGGACAGCAUUGCCUGGAUCUCGUUAAGUACCAUCCAAUAAUCUGAGAAAAAAAUUAGUAAGAGUGGAAAAAGGGAAGAUAAAAAAGAAAAAGUGAAAAGGGAUACGUAUUGCUUAUUAGUUACCUGAGAAGAAAACAGGGGAAGAACAAGAGGAUCGGAGAGUGGGAACGGCGUACUUGUGUUCGCCAUAGGAGGAGGGAUAAGAGAAGAGAGAGAACUGAAUGGGAUCGAAGGGGGAGGAACGGAAGAGGCAUUUGGAAGAAGAUAAGGAAGUGUAGAGAGCGAGGAAGAUGGAGGAGGAAAGGUAAAACAGAGAGAAACAGAAGAAUUUUGAUUGGAAAAGCAGAGGAGUAGACCAACCUGUCUUCCCCAUUAGCCUCUCGAUUUUGAUUUUACAAAAUUUGUUUUUUCCGUUUUUUUUAUUUCGUUGAUAUAAAUUCUCUUAUUUCGUCGUUUAUUGCUUCACUUCACUCUCCCACACCUUAUUUUCCGUCUAACAAAAACUAAAAAACCGUUUCUGUUUUUCACUUUUUAGAUUAAAUUUAUGAUUCCUAUAUAUUUCAAUAAAUAUUAAAUUUAAUCUCCAAAUUUAAGUUUGGACACAUUUUCAAAAAUAUAUAUUUACUUUUGUAUCUGUUUUUAAAAAACAUUAGUUUUGAAAUACAUAUCUCAAAUUAUUAAUUGGGAUGCAAUACAUAUCCACUAUUAAACAAGAUUAUAUAUUCCUUCCAAUAUUAAUUGAUUUACAAAUCAACUUCUCUAUAUAAUUUGUAAAUAAUGUUUAAAAUACACACAAGAGGUAUUCUAAUUUCACCUCCAUUUUAUUUUUGUUUAUUAGGAAUUUCCUCUUUCUACCCCCAUGAAGAAACACAUAAAUAAACAGUAGUUAAAAGGCUUAUAAUUAGAUGGUUGGCUUUGAUUGAUUUCAAAAUUUUGCUCGGGGUUUUUUGAAAAUGUCUUCUCUGAGCACUUGAACUACUCGUUUAAAGCUGUCGAAAUCGGCCAAGAGAGCAUAAAAAUGAGAGUCUUUAACGUCAGGUGGUAGCAAGAAAGCGCUUCUCAUUUCUCUAAACUCUUCCCAUUCUUUAAUUGCUUCUUGGGUCUCAUUCUGCAAUACUUUAAUUAUAGCCUGCACAAUGUAGAUAAAAAGUUUGAAUCUCAUUUACUGUGAUCAACUUCUAACUUGUUCACAUUUAAGCUAUUAGGGUUGCAUGAUUUAUGGGUUACUAAUGCUUACUCGCCAACCACAAUCUUGUUGUUUGAACUAAACUAUGGUGGAUUGUAUGAACUCAACAAAAAAGAAAAAAGCCAACCCC